ensembl:lncRNA
GGGGAGAGCGCGGGAGGGGCGGGGAAGGGGAGGCGGUCAGCUCGGUCCCCGCCCGCCGUCCCGCAGGAAGUGCGCCCCCGGCCCUCUGCGGCGGUCGGGCGAGCGUCCAAGCUCGUCUCCCGGAGGCCGGCCCCUUGGGGUCUGCGCGCACACCCCGGAGCUAAUGUUUAACGGAAAUCAGAGGCUUUUGGCUGGGCUGGACUCUGACCUUCGUUAUCCGGAUGGAGAUAGUCAAGGCGUUACUUGGCUAUUUGAAGAUGGAAGUUCACCUUCUUUCUCCACUUUACCUGGCUUCACCGCUUCUGUGUUCAGGGCCAAUGUUCUUUGUGGUGGAAAACUGUCACUGAAAUAGAGCAAGUGUUCCGGACUAUAUGCCUGAGCUUCUACUAAAAGGUUUUCAAAGCAACGUGGUGGCAAGGAGGAAAUGUGAAGUGUCUGCAUCGGAGCAAAAGGUUGUACUGUUGACUGGAAUUUAUGGAGAGAAGCUUGGGUUUCUAGGGCUCAGCUCUGAGGAAAAUGCACUGGAUGUGUGUGCAUAGGGGAGGUACCACCAGGACCCAAGAACACAGCAUGGGGCCUUCCCCCACCUCCCAGUCCCCUCACCGCUGUCCAUAAGCUGGAACCUUUCAGAAGACAGGGCUUUGGGCCCCAGAAUUCGGCUUACAUUUGGGUUUGCCACAGCCUAAUGGCCUGCUUGUUUAACAAAAGUAAUGUCAAACUGGACAAAGUCUCUUAAGUGACUAUACUUCUCAAGACAGUUUUAAAAAUUAAUUUCAAUUUGAAGAAAACAUGUCCUCUGGCAUCCAGAGCAUCUGCCCAAAGUUCCAGAAAUUCAAGAUAUUUAAUGGACCCUCACCUUAAAGCAGCCUAUGACAGCCAUCCCUUCAAGAUAAAUACUCCCUUUCUCUGUCAGAGUAUGUGGCUCUGUACUUUGUACUCUUCCGUCACGGCUUUUGCCUUUAUAAGCCCCUGACACUUUCUCUUCCCCAGAACACUCUUCUGGUUUUACCCAAAUCUGUGUCCAGAAUUGCAAUUCUUAAACGCCUCAAUAAACUCUUAUUUGAAGC